UCUUCUGCCCAGACUCUUCCACCAUGCCUUCCUGUCACGGAGCCAGCCAAACAUGGACUUAAAUCUCCAAAAACCAUCAGCUGAAUAAACCUCUCCUUCUUUAAGCUGCUGGUGUUGGGUACUGGGUCUCACAAGAGUGACUGAGACGUCAGUUUAUCGCAGAGGUUCUUCAGAAGAGCACAUGGAAGGCUUAAGGACAAGAACCAGCUGCUUGCAGUACACACCAGCUUAGCUCCUCCAUCUGGGGUCGCUGCGUACGGUCGUCACAUACCAGUUGAGUGACCAGCCAAAAGGGAAACCUAGUCAGAAGCCACAUUGUUUAUUCUCAUUCCUAAAGGAAGCCACGCUUGGGAGAUGAACAAACACCAGCUGCUGCCCAAGUCCACAGGCUGACCCUGGUGCUUUCAUUCAUUUCUGGCCACAGUACUGAGUUUGCACAUUCUUUGUCUGGAUUGAACUCAGGACUUUGCACUUGAGAGGCAGGUGGUGGAACCGCUAAGCUAAAUCCCCAGCCUGGUGAACCUCUCAUUUUCAAGCUCAUUCGGCACACUUUUUCAAGCCCAGGCCUGUCUCAGCCCAUCCAAAAUCUCACCAACCUUGCCUUCUCCAGCCUCAUCCACUUCACUCUGAAGUCAUUUCCU